AAACUUUCAACAAUGGAUCUCUUGGCUCCCACAUCGAUGAAGAACGCAGCGAAAUGCGAUACGUAAUGUGAAUUGCAGAAUUCAGUGAAUCAUCGAAUCUUUGAACGCACAUUGCGCUCCCUGGUAUUCCGGGGAGCAUGCCUGUUUGAGCAUCAUU
rnacentral:rRNA from 2 species